rnacentral:rRNA from 1 species
GAUGAACGCUGGCGGCGUGCUUAACACAUGCAAGUCGAACGGACAGGCCCUGCGCUUGUUGGGUUCUCGUUUGCCGCACGCGUGUGUAACACGCGAGUAUCCUCCCCUUAUCUUUCGGGUAUCUUUACGAAACUGGGGCUCAUAUCGCAUAUGAUCUCCUGCUCCACGUUGUUCAUUGGAUAGUUUCGGCGGUUGGGGAUGGACUCGCUGCUUAUCCGCUUGUUGGUGGGGUUGUGGCUUUCCAAGGGUCUGACGGGUAGCCGGCCUGAGAGGCUAACCGGCGACAUGGGGACUGAGAUACGGCCCAGACGCCAACGGGAGGCAGCAGUGGGGAAUAUUGCACAAUGGGCGGAAGCCUGAUGCAGCAACGCCGCGUGCGGGAUGACGGCCUUCGGGUUGUAAACCGCUUUCGCCUGUGACGAAGCGUGAGUGACGGUAAUGGGUAAAGAAGCACCGGCUAACUACGUG